AUUGUAAGCUUCUUCAGGGAUCUGAGACAUACUAAAAGAAAUAUCAAACAUAAAUCAGUAACUGAAAAGCUUGGAUUACUGGCUGGCUAUCCAGUGCCAAGUGGCGAAGCAAUUUACUAGGUAUGGUGAUAGGUGAGGCUCUGCUAGAUGCCAAGUGGCUUGAGAGGCUCUAUGCGUUGGCGCGAUGGGAUUUGUUAGCCACCGAACGUUGUGGAAGGCCCUCUCUAUGCAACUGUGAGAGGCGGCUAUGAUUUGGCCCAAGAGGCAAAUAUACCUCAAGCGUGGAGGAAGGGUGUUGAUCUCGCGGGUCCACUGUGACCGAGGCAAAGAAGCAAGAAAUGUCUACCACUAGUAGUCGACCAGAUCCCGAAUAAGCCAGUAACAACUAACUGAAAGCAUGGGGGGAGGGGAAUGUUGUGGGGAAAUAGGCAAAACGUAC